CACAGAUUCAAAUCAGUAAAUGCGAUACCUACUACAAAAUAACUUGGAUUUUUUUACAGGAAUAGUCGUAGUUGUGAGCCGUGACUCCGUGAGUAGUCAAUUUACACACGAAUUAUUGUAUUGAUAACACUGAUAACAGCAGCAGAAUAAUGUAAACAAAACAUGAUUGUUUACAUUUUCUGUAGUCUUUGGUAUGCAGAAGGAGCCAUAAUUACAUGAUGAAGGCAACCAUGUUAAGCUUGGAAAUAUUCUAAUUUAUGUUCUAGAUAAAUAUAUUGAAAGAAAAUACAAACGGGCAAACUUUUUCUAGAUUUCGAGAGGAAGUUGAAGUUGGUUAAUUAUCAAGGAUUACAGAAACAUUACCCCCUUCCCCUUCCCGCCUGCACCUGCAAGUUGCAACACGAAGCGGGCGUUGUUGACAACAAACUCGCUUAUCAUUCACCACGUGUGCCGCUUUUUCUUUUUGGUCAUGAUCUUUUUUUAUGUCAUUUUCAAAGACAUUUGGAGUGUUUGUACGUUGUGCUGAACUUAUAAGUAAUGUUCCCAGAAUUGACUUUUAUUCAUUACAUCUUCAAGCCCACUUUGAAUCGGAGAUAUCAUGAGUCGACGGAGAGAAAGGCGAGGAAAAGAACAGAGCAGCAAAGCAGACAACUUUAAAAGAGAUCUAUCUCAACUCGUCCCAAAACACAAAGUGCCACAUAGAGACUCCAAGGUCAAGGAAGGUUUAUUCCGAAAAGGAUUUCGUACAAAACAUCUCCUAAGGGCAGAAGGAUUGGCAGAUGCUAAAAAAUUUGCCAGACUAAAUGGAGAUCUUGAGGAAAUCAUCAGCCUUGUAAAUGGCGAAGCGCCAUCCAAUAGAUAUGAAGAAACUAGGUCAAGGAACAGAAGUCUUUCGAAAAGUCCUUUCUUCAAGCAUGGCAAGAGUCCUCCAGCACCAAGUUCAAAUGAUAUCUCAUGUACAUUAAAUAAUCAAGACUUUGAACUAUUGGAAAAUCACACAAGACACCCACACAAAUUUCCCAGAGGAAACUGUAAAACGAACUCAGGAAAAGAAAACAUUCCGGUUCAUGAGCUUAAUUUUAACAGUCCUCCUAACACGCAAGCUGUGAAAAAAGCUAGAACAGCUGAAUUUAUCAAUUCUCUUCCAUCAAUCUUUGAAGAGGAUAUCAAUCCAAGUCAUGAAAAUGCAGGGCAAAAAUUGUCAAACAGCGCAGAUGAUAAGCUCAGAGAAGCUCACAUGACCACGUGUUUUGGCGAAUUAGCAUCCUCCAUUGGUCACUCCCUUGUAAUUCUGAGGAAGAAACGUUACGGAAAAAUCAACUACAAUCAGGACUUGAAACAAGCCAUCAUGAAUGAUUAUGCAGAAAGUUGCAGAAGUUCUCCAUCAACAUCUACAUAUUACUCGGAAGGAAGCAUUGCAGUAAAAAAUCCUUCACCAUCAGCAAAAGUAAAUUUUGAACCAAGAAAACGUGCUCGAAACUAUGAGCCAACACCCGUCUCUCCUUCAAUAGCUGAACCGUCUCCUCUCAGAUUGAGUUCACAGACUGAAGAUUCAUUCUUGCAAACUGAAGGCCCUCAUCUCAACUUGAGCUCAAGUGCUUUUCCGAAUACAUUCAUAUUGACAGAAAAUUCUCAGCUCAACUCGCAUUCAAGUUCAUUACAACAGGAUUCACACCCUUCUUCGUCGCUAUUAUUUUUUCCCCAGUCGUACACUACCCUGCCCGGCAAUUCUCAACUGCACUGCUCCGAAACUUUGACAAAUGAGUGGGCAGCUCCUGCUCCACCAUUCAAAAAUCCAUCUGUGUGGCCACCUCAAAAUUCCUGUAGCUUUCAUGAUUAUCCCUCUGAAAUUAUUUUGAAACAGCCAGAGAGACCGACACACAAAGAAGUAAAUUACUUAUCAAGAUCUUCGCCCGAUCAAGACUCUCUUAUUCCUAAAUUCAAAUUUUAUCCUCGAAAUAUGUAUUAA
rnacentral:lncRNA from 1 species